rnacentral:lncRNA from 1 species
GUCUGCCUCACACUGAUAGCCUAUCUUAUCUCUAGGCUCACAGGAAUGUCCUCUCAGCAUGUGGGGAAGGCUAUUCAUCUUUUUGUAGUUUGUGACUAUGUUCUUCAAAAUCCAGCAGCCCUUCUCUAAGAUCUUUUCCUGCUUAUAAGUGUGGUCCUUGGACUCUCUGCAUGAUAGGCGCAAAAGCUGUGUGCAUCUGCACACACAAAACACUUUUUGUAGCUGGAGAUGAAUCUUGGCUUUGAAUCUAUCAUAUUGCUAUCCCCUUCCUCAGGUCCAUAACUGCACAAAAGUAGAUGCUGGUUCCCCUGUGUCCUCCAAGAUGCACAAGAAUACAGGCUUGCAUAGAUGUCCCACAUGUUGGAGAUAGACAGGGGUGGGGGACUUGUAACUUGUUAUCUGGAAAAGAGAUUAGGCAGGGUGAGGAGGAAAAAAUAUGGAUAGGUAGGAGAGAACAAAGAAUGAAGAGAGGGAAGAGGAAAUGUCCUGUGAAGUAAGACAAAAGGCAGAUUUACAAGAAGAGCAGCAGAUUCCCUAGGAUUUGGCAUAAUGUGUUCAGCAGGUUCUUCUCCAGGUCAAGUCUUAUCCCAGUCUGGACUGGUCCCCACAAGUUCUCAGGUGGGCAAGAUGGCCACUUCCAUUCCAGGGACUUGUUUCAGUUGCUCCUCCACCUAUAACUGUGUUAACUCUUUCAGUGCCUCAUCAACUCAAAAAAAGGAAUGCCAGAAACCCACAGAUGAACCAGCUGAGCUUGUCUGCAAGAAGUUGAAUGUGUCACUCCCCAAAACCCUAUACAUCCAGAAGAAUUGAGACAGCUCUAGUCCUCACCCCAUCCCUUAGCUAAUGAUUCUCAAGCUUUAGGGCAAAUGAAAAUCACACAGGAGCUUAUUCUAAAUGCAAGUUCAAGCUAGUGCUUUUAAAUAAAAAUUCUGGGUGUUGCUAAGUUGUAUUAGAGCUUUAAGAAAAACUAUUUUCCUCCUUCAGUCCCCAAACUGUACAUUUUUAAUAAAAUAGAGGUUGGUUUAUUUUAAAAUAUUCUGUCUCAUUGCUAUAACCCACACCUCCUUAACUAAUUUUUGGAACCAAGUCCAUAAUCAGCCUGACAUUGAGCGGGGCACCAAGCAUAACAAAUAGUAAAUGGCUCUUUUAUCUUAAGAGAACCUCAGGAAUUGCUCCCAGUUUAAGAGUGAGACUCCAGAAAGAAGAGAAUGUGAGAUGUGAACAGCUAGCUCUGUGAAUG